rnacentral:rRNA from 1 species
CCUACGGGAGGCAGCAGUGAGGAAUAUUGCGCAAUGGGCGAAAGCCUGAAGCAGCAACGCCGCGUGCGCGAUGAAGGUCUUCGGAUCGUAAAGCGCUUUUGAGAGGGACGAGAUAGGACGGUACCUCUUGAAUAAGUCACGGCUAACUACGUGCCAGCAGCCGCGGUAAAACGUAGGUGGCAAGCGUUAUCCGGAUUCACUGGGCGUAAAGCGAGUGCAGGUGGUUGCGUAAGUUGGAUGUGAAAUUUCCCAGCCUAACUGGGAAGGGUCAUUCAAUACUGCGCGACUUGAGGGCAGAAGAGGGGGGUGGAAUUGCCGGUGUAGUGGUGAAAUGCGUAGAUAUCGGCAGGAACACCUGUGGCGAAAGCGGCCCCCUGGUCUGAUCCUGACACUCAGACUCGAAAGCUAGGGUAGCGAACGGGAUUAGAUACCCCUGUAGUC